GGUAGUUCGAAGUGGAUGUGCAUGGACUAGAGUUGCUUGUGUAGCUAGAAGGGCAAUUGUGACAACUGUUGUACAUAUUUAGGAGGCACAAUCCAGCAACACUUUUUAGGUUGUUAUCCAAGCUUAGAUGAUCUAAUAUCAUUGCCAAUUUCCAUCCCUUGGCAUUAAUUUCAGAAUCAAACUGUUUAUCAGAAGUAUUGG
rnacentral:misc_RNA from 1 species